rnacentral:lncRNA from 1 species
CUUUUAGGGCCGCACCUGCAGCACAUGGAAGUUCCCAGGCUAGGGAUCGAAUCAGAGCUACAGCUGUCAGCUUAUACAACAGGCACAGCAACUCGGGAUCCAAGCCACGUGUGCUACCCAUACCACAGUUCACAGCCAUGCCGGAUCCUCAACCCACUGAGUGGGGCCAGGGAUCAAACCCACAUUCUCGUGGAUACUAGACAGGGUCAUUACCACUGAGCUACAACAGGAACUCCCUUAGUUUCAACUUUUAUCAAACUUAGUUAAGAAUACACCACUGCCCAAGACGAUUGUCUGGGGGCAGAUCACCAUAUCAGCAAGAGACGUUAUAGAAAAAGAGGAGACUCAUCAUUGGUGAAUUCAAUCCAAAUAAUUUUAAGUUAGUAAUUUUUAAAAAAGAAACAAGUGAUAAUAGUGAACUAAAAACAAAAACAAACAAACAAAAAACACAGUCCCUUGAGAAUGGGACAUAGGUAUUCAUGGUUUGUGAAAUCUCCCCAUUUUUCACAGUAGCUUAUAAACUGCUAAGGUGCCUGGGUUAGGUGCUGGCACAGUUCCUCUUCAGUGCACCCCAGUGAAAAAAAUACAAACAUCCAACAUUUGUUCCGAGUAUAGUCUUUACAUCUACUUGGAGGGCACUCACAGGGAUGUAACAAUAUGAAAUUGAUCAGAUUUGAUCACUCUAAGAAUUGGAAAAUCUAGGCUUCCAAUAUGUACUCAAGACAACAUAAAUGAGGGCCUCUCUGGCACAGCCAGGUGGAAUAGUCUUUGAAAAUCCAGCUAAAAAUGUCUCUCACUGCUGAAUCAAUUAUAAUAAGACACAACUAGAAACUUACAAAAGUGACCUGAUUUACGAGAAGAGGAAGUGGGGGUUAAGGUCGUUUCUAUGUGCAAUGCACUUUCCACAGAGACAAAAUUUAUCCAGGGCAAGAAUGUAUAUUACACAACACAGGUCAAGCACUGUUGUAACCGCUACCUCUAUCAAAAUAAAUAGUAAGCCAAUCGAUUAUAGGAAAGAGUCCCAAAGAGAAUGGUUUCUAAUGGUUCUAAUUUGGAAACAGAAGUAUGCAACAAAAUUGUCCGCAGAUGGAACAGUACUAAAUUUGUCUUUUAUGAACAUAAACUAUGUAGAAAUUUUUGUUCUAAAUUAGAAUAUUGAAAAACCCUUAAGAUCAAUUUGAAAAACAGCUAAAAAUAAGAAAGAAAAUUCAAAGAUCCUAGACUCCAAAGAAAUAUACAGAUCAUUUCUGUCUAUAGCAUCUUAAUAUUUAUUAUAAUAUUUAAAUCAUUCUAGAAAGAGAAAAAUUAACAACCACUACAAAAAAUUAUUUAAUAUCAGCCUAGAAACUCCACUGCAAUUAUUAAUGAUAAAUUUGAUUUUUACAGAGUGUUAUUUUUUUCACUAAAACUAACCAAAAUUAAGCUCCUAUAUCAGAUGGAAAUGAACAGCAAGGCACCUUCCUGUUUAAAGCGUCUAGAAUGUAAAAAAUAGGUCUAUUUUCUGGCUUGGUCUGAGAAUAAGAGUCCUUUGCCUCACCCAUUAUCAAAGGAUUGAUAAGCACUAAAAUUACAUUUAGUGAAGUUUAAACUUGGUGGCACGGGACAAAGAUGGCAUCAAAACCAUUUCAGAAAUUUUCAUUACUCCUGAAUGCCAACUAGGGCAUCAUUUGGCAUAGUGCUGUCUCGUGUACAUUGGAGCACUGAAGAAGGUCUUGGUCAUCAGAAGUCAUAGUGAGUCAUCCCCGCAAACUCUGCCUGUCAAAGCAGAAUAAUCUCAAUAAAUUCCCUUUCUUGGGAUCUUAUUUCUCAACCUUUUAAUCAUCUUGCAGACUCUCCUCUGAACAGCUUCCAAAUGUUCUACAUUCUUCUCUGGCUUCUUAGUUUUAACCUACUUGAUCAAAUGUCAAAGGAAGCUGUUAUUCGUCUUUAGAAUAAUUUCACCAUAGACAUACUCUUCAAAAUUAUGACUUAUAAGAAAGUUACAUAAACCAAAUCCUUUAGCUCCAUCACCUCAGUGGAAUAGGUUAUCAAGAGGGAAUUAUUUAUAGUGUUUUGUUAUUUAUGGAAAAGAGUUUUUUUACUUAAAUACAUAUGAUAAAUUGACUUGAUCUGAAAUGAACAUCAGCUUGAAAGUAUGAAAAUGACACAACUUAGAAUAGAUUUACAAGGAGAUCCUGCUGAAUAGCAUUGAGAACUUUGUCUAGAUACUCAUGUGCAACAGAAGAAAGGGUGGGGGAAAAAUGUAAUUGUAAUGUAUACAUGUAAGGAUAACCUGACCCCCUUGCUGUACAGUGGGAAAAUAAAAAAAAAAUUAUUAAAAAAAAGAAAAAAAUGAAAACCAGUUCACUACCAUGAACUUACUCCCAAAAAAAAAAAAAAAAAAAAGAAAAUGCUUAUAGCAAAAGUACAUAGUUUUAUUAGAACUCACAGCUAUUACUGAUACACCGCUUUGAUAGAAACUAUACAUAUUUUUUCUGGCAUCCAUAGCUAUUGCUUUAUUUAUUUUUAUUUUUUAAGCUUUUUUUUUUGUCUUUUUUUGUCUUUUUUUGUCAUUUGAGGGCUGCACCUGCAGCAUAUAGAGGUUCCUAGGCUAGGGAUCUACGGAGCUGUUGCUGCCAGCCUGUGCCAGAGCCACAGCAACGCAGGAUCUGAGCUGCGUCUGCGACCUAUACCACGGUUCAUGGCAAUGCCGGAUCCACAACCCACUGAGUAAGGCCAGGGAUCGAACCCACAACCUCAUGGUUCCUAGUCGGAUUCAUUUCUGCUGAGCCACAACAGGAACUCCAAUCCAUACCUAUUGUUGACAUGACCUUUUGAAGGAACAUGUAUGCAUUUUUUUUUCAACUAACACACAUAACCUGGGUGACAUUUUGACAUACAUGAUAUUUUGUUGGGAGGAUCCUUAACCUCUUCCUCUCAGGCCUAUAUGAAUAGAAAAGAGGAAUCCAGUCUUCCUUUCCCCUUCAGUGGGGUGCCACCUAAUCCAUUUUUAAUUUUUUUAUUCCAUUCCCACCUCCAAAUGCCUUUUCAAAUACUCCUGGACCAGGCUAGAGGCCUGGAGGAGCUGCCUAGGGCCCGCAAGGGUGCUGGGGUAGAGCUGAAGGAAAGGAAGGGGGCUGGGUGGGUUGAAUCCACUCAGUGUGGAGACCCAUACACACCAGACCAGCACUCCAGUUCACAUCCAGCCCUCAGCUUAAUGCUUAGAUAUAACUAGAUGGUCCCCAGUCACGUCACUGGUUUUUCACUGUCCCCAGUCAGGUCAAGAGAAGCGUGGAAGUGUUAAUAUAUGUUUGCAAAUUGUUUGGCACUCCUUCCAUCAACAAAGUGGGGUCUGAUUCCCAGGGAUUUCCUUCAAAAAUAUAGAAUAUGGCAGAAAUGACCCUGGAUGCCUUCAGAGGCUGGAUUAGAAAAAGGUCACUGGGCUUCCGCCUGGCGCUCUCCCUUGGGACCCAUACCUGGGGUGCCCUGAGUGGCUCUGUGAAAAGUCCAGUUAAGCGGAAGCUGCCAUGCUGGAGAGAUCAUUGCAGAGAUCUUCAAGAGGAAGAGAGAGGGUCCAGGAAUCCCCAUUAUUUUUGUCUCCAAGGGUUUGAGACUUCCCAGACCACAGCCAGCAUCAAUGGCCAGCCUGUGAGCAGACAGCCUUCAGUUGGCUCCAGCCCUCCUUCAGAUGGCAGGUGUAUAUAUUUUCUUUUUUAUUAACACAUAUACCCACGAUCACAUUUUGACAUACAGACUUCCAAGCCAUCCUGAUGGAGCAGACACAG